rnacentral:rRNA from 1 species
GACGAACGCUGGCGGCGUGCCUAACACAUGCAAGUCGAACGAAGCUCCCUGACGUAAGACUUCGGUCAAGCUGAUGGGAUGACUUAGUGGCGGACGGGUGAGUAACGCGUGAGGAACCUGCCUUUCAGUGGGGGACAACAGUCGGAAACGACUGCUAAUACCGCAUAAUGUACUUUGGGGGGCAUCCCCGAGGUACCAAAGAUUUAUUGCUGAAAGAUGGCCUCGCGUCUGAUUAGAUAGUUGGUGAGGUAACGGCCCACCAAGUCGACGAUCAGUAGCCGGACUGAGAGGUUGAACGGCCACAUUGGGACUGAGAUAACGGCCCAGACUCCUACGGGAGCAGCAGUGGGGAAUAUUGGGCAAUGGGCGCAAGCCUGACCCAGCAAACGCCGCGUGAAGGAAGAAGGCUUUCGGGUUGGUAAACUUCUUUAAGGGGUAAGGAGCAGAAGA